CGGCCGCGCCCCACAGGCUGCUUUCAGAGCCGCCCCGCCCCGCCAGGGGCUCUCCUGUCCUUUCAGUUUCUUUCUCUCCACGCCAGCGGGUCUUCUGCUUGCUGGGCAUGACAGGCCAGCGCUCGAAUUUCUCUGGUGGUGCAUUUUGUGUUGGAUUAGUUCUUUUCCGCAAUGGGUAACUUGCUCUUAGCGAAAGUGGCAAUUCGGUGUAAAUACAACCCGUGCAGUUAGCGGUGGCUCUGGAUUGUGCCGCACACCGGGCACUUAGGUGAGUGAGUUAAACCUCUGGUAACCAUUUAUUAAAAACAGUGUUAUGUCGGAUGCAGUACGAUACUGGGGUCUGAGUAGGUUUUGCCUCAUACACUUCUCUGUCGGACGUUCUUUUAAAUUUAUUUCUACACCGUUAAUUUUUCAACAAUACUUGCUUCCUCCCCAUCUCCUCAGGUGGAGUCCCCUCAGUCUCGUGCACCAUCACCACUGUGCCUGUGCUCCUCCCUCCCUUGCUGUGAUCCCUGUUCUUCCUCCCCUGCAGUAACAGGUUCUCCUGCAGUCCAUAGGCCCUGAACUUACCUUGACUCCACAUGCCAAGUGACCUGUGUUGGAAAAAGGCUUCUCUGGACAUUUUGGAUUUAUGUGUUUAUUAAUGCAAGCACUGGGUACAGUCAGAAGCGUGGGAGGAUGAGAGAAUUCACCAGAGCCACAGCAGGGAGCAGAACUGACAGACUGACGAAAAACACUGCUGAGGGGAGUAGCAGGCACGGCAGGAGAGAUCUGUGUGCCAUGUGGGACCCUCACCUGUGACCGAACCGGCGCUGCAAGCAGCCUCACAGUCCAGCGCUCAACCACUGCGGCACCGGGAAGGCCCCUGAUUUUUGCUCUUUUGUAUGUAAUCUUUCCUCCCUUUCUGGGAUAGCCAGCAGAGUACCAACUUAAGAUCUAUGUCCAUUCCUGCUUCCUCCCUUGAACUCUUGACCUCAUAAGUAUCCUGGAGAUUAUUUUUAGGAUCCAAAUAAUUCAAGAUAAUCUCCCUACCUCAAAUUCACAUCAGAAAAGCCGCCUUUGUCAUAUAAGGUAAUAUUAAACCUAGGAAUUUAAAUGUGAAAAUUUUGGGUACCAUAUUCAGCCUACCAGUUUUGGGCUACUCUAUCAGCUGAAGUGUUGUCCCCCGCUGUCCCCUGCCACCCCCACCCCCCAAAGAGAUACUGAAAUCUAACAACCCAGUGCUUUAGAAUGUGGCCUUACUUGGAAAAAGGGUCUUUGCACAUUAUUUAAAUGAGAUCUUUAGGGUGACAUCCUAAUACAAUAUGACAAUUAUCCUUGAAAGAAAAGAAACACACAGAAAGAAAAUUGAGAUAUACUGUCACAAGCCAAAAGCUGAAAUACAAGGAUACUCUCAAAAGCCUUAGGAGGAACAGGGCUCUGCCAACACCUUGACUUCAGGUGUCCAGCUCCAGAGCAAUGAAAGAAUAAAUCCUAUUGUUUUAAAGCAUUUAGCUGGUGGCACUAUGUUUUGGCUGCCCUGAGACUAAUACAACUAUUAAAAUUUGUAAGAACAGUGUUACUUCCUUUAAAUUUUAAUAAAACUUCAGGUUUGCUUUUUCUACUCCAGACAUUCCUUCCUGAUAAUAUUAAUUUCUGGCCCUGGCCAAAUAAUGCUUUUAAUACUGGCCAUUACUCCAAAUGCAUAGUUGGAGCACCUCUGUUUUUCCUUCUCUACCCUAUUUAGCCUCUUUGAGACCCAGAAAGGUCUAUUAUUUUCUUCUAUUCUAAAAAAUUGUUUUUUUCCAAUAUUUUAAGAUUCAAACUCAUCUAAAUAUAAGUUUGCCAGAUAAACUGACUUAACUUGAUGUCUGAGGUACAGCAGGGUUCCAAAGGUGGCUGACGCCACGAAUGGCCCAGGAAUGAUUCACUCCCUCAGCUGUGCUGUCCUGAGUAUUACCUAUCAGUCAUUCCUGCCUUCACACAAAUAUUCCACCUAUUGCUGCCUCCUGAAAUCAAAGUAACUUCUCUCCCCAAAGAUAAAAGCAAUCUACAUUCUCUUGCUCAGUUUCUGGAAUGUUUGUGCUUAGUUUGGUCUACAAGUAUGAACUAAAAAGGGGAAUGGGGCUACCUUUAAACCGAGCAGGUCAACCCUAAGAACUGUGGGGAAAAUCUGUUUUCUGGGAAAAACAUGCGAUGAUGGUGGUGUAUCUCAACUGUGACUGCCUUGUUAAGAGUCACCUGGGGAGCUUUAU